AUGACUAAAAACAAUUUGCUUAAGAGGGGGAUUGACAAAACUCCUGGAUGCCUAUUCUGCUCUGAUCAGGAAAUAGUAGAUCAUUUGUUUUUUGAUUGUGUAGUGGCAAAAGGCAUUUGGACUGAGGUCUCCUCCUUUUUUUCUAUUGAUUUAGGGACUAGCUAUUUCUCCAUUGCCAAAUUUUGGCCUGCAGUUAAAAACCAUGAAGUGCUUAAUGCCUUUUGUGCUUGUGUGCUGUGGUGCCUAUGGAAAGUUAGGAAUAAACAUGUUUUUGACAAUGUUGUAUGGUCUGAUAUUAAACAGAUCUGGUGGCUGGUCUGGAGGACACUCAAAAGGUGGAUGGUCAUGUACUCAAAGGAUUCACAGGAGAAAAUGCAGAGGAUUCUAUACUGGAUAUCCUGCAACCUCAAAGCCCCCCUGCAGCUGAUUAUGGGGUAA
rnacentral:rRNA from 1 species